GCUUCAUUAGAAUGUAUCACUGUGGUACACUUUUGGUGGAGGAACCAAACUCAUCAUCAAAGGUCCCACGGUGAAGCCCUCCGUGUCUCUGCUCCCUCCCUCCUCUCUGCACCAGUAUGAGGAAUCGGCCUCGCUGCUCUGCCUGCUGUCUGCCUACUCUCCACAGGGGGCGUCGGUGAGCUGGACGGUGGACGGCUCGGCGGUGAAGGACGGGGUCUUGACCAGUGCAGAAGAACAGAAGAAGGACGGUUACACACGCAGCAGUACCCUGACCCUCAGCCAAGCACUCUGGGAAAAGGGGGAGGAGUUUGUCUGUACAGUCUCCCACGAGGGCGUGGAUCAUCCGGUCACGUUCAGAAAGAGCCAGUGUUAAGGCGAACAGCUCCAAGAUAGAACUGAACACUGAGCUGCUUCCACAUCCAUCUACAAUAGAGUUUCAGUUCUACACAAUGCUGACAUUUCUGUCUUUACUCUCUUCACUGUCCUGUUGCUCUUCCUGUAGUUUUGCUCUGCUGAAAUAAAGCUUCAUUUUGGA